UACGUAGGGUGCGAGCGUUAAUCGGAAUUACUGGGCGUAAAGUGUGCGCAGGCGGCCGCGCAAGUCGAGUGUGAAAUCCCCGAGCUUAACUUGGGAAUUGCGCUCGAAACUACGUGGCUGGAGUGUGGCAGAGGAAGGUGGAACUCCACGUGUAGCGGUGAAAUGCGUAGAGAUGUGGAGGAACACCGAUGGCGAAGGCAGCCUUCUGGGCCAACACUGACGCUCAUGCACGAAAGCGUGGGGAGCAAACAGG
rnacentral:rRNA from 1 species